rnacentral:snRNA from 1 species
ACACAUAUUUUAAAGCGUUUGAA